GCAGGACUGGAAAAGGACGGUGGGCGGGCCCCACAGCCGAGGGAAUCUAACAGCCCCCAAGCUCCAACGAAAGGCCGCCCAUCUCCGAUCCCUGCAACCCCUAAAACGGAAAACCACCAUAGAUGUGAACGAAGAACUGGGAGAAACGAAGAGAAGGACAAAAACAGCAAUCAAAUCCAAUACACUCAUCCAUACUUCUUGAUCCUCUCUUCUUCUCGAGAGAAGAGAAAAGAUCUCUGUUGAGAAGAAAAAAAGGAUCUCAGGAUGUGGCAUAAGAAUAUUUUGAGGAUUUGGAUCGCAAAAAAGCUAUACAUAAAAAUCUUUGAAUCCAAAGAAAGAAGAGAGAGAGAGAGAGAGAGAGAGCGCCAUGGGAGAAGAAGGGAAGAGAAAACAUCUCUGUUGAGCAAAAAAAAGGAUCUCAGGAUGUGGCAUAAGAAUAUUUUCAGGAUUUGGAUCGCAAAAAAGACUAUAUACAAAGAUCUUUGAAUCCUAAGAAAGAAGAAAGAG
rnacentral:lncRNA from 1 species